rnacentral:rRNA from 1 species
UACAGAGGGUGCGAGCGUUAAUCGGAAUUACUGGGCGUAAAGGGCGCGUAGGCGGUGAUAUGAGUGGGAUGUGAAAGCCCUGGGCUUAACCUAGGAAGUGCAUCCCAAACGAUAUUACUGGAGUAGAGGAGAGGGUGGCGGAACUUCCGGUGUAGCAGUGAAAUGCGUAGAGAUCGGAAGGAACGUCGAUGGCGAAGGCAGCCGCCUGGCCUCAUACUGACGCUGAGGCGCGAAAGCGUGGGGAGCAAACAGG